UCAUUGUCUUGUUUGUCACCCGUCAGUAGUCAACUCCAAAUUCAAAAAAAAUACAAAUGUAUUCUGUGUCGGCUUACAUAAAGUUAACACGCCAAAUAAGCUAUGCAGGGAAAAAACAUCUGGAUCUAGAUUGUCCAUUAAGGCAUGUCAUUACGUUUCUACAUCUGCUGCAACUUGAUGUAAUAAAUUCUGUAAGAAUUACACAUUCUCCCUAGAAUAAGGCUUAUGAGCUUUAUCAACCCUAAAAACCCAUGAAUUCUUUCAGUAUUAAAACCACGCUGUGAUUUUGAUCACUUUCAAUAUGCUGUGCAAUGUUUAUUACGUUCGUCCUUCAUAGCACUUCCAUUAAUUUAAGUUGAGGAAGUAUUAGAAUAAAUUGUUUUCUAUUACUACAAACAAUUUAGUCUGUCUAAGCCCUCUAAAGUAUUUUAGAGAGUGGCUGCUGCUCUGCAGAUCAUUCGUUUUUUAUGAUUUAACCGUUGUUCUCGUCUCCAAAAAGCUGCCUGUGUACUUUUGAGUCGUCUGCAAACCAAGUAAUGUCACUUCUGCCUUCCACCACAGCCAAACAUGGGUCUUACGCAGGGAAAGUGAACAUCCCCCUUUGUGUCACAGCCAAUUCAAAACAAGUGAAAAUCCUCCUUUUGCAUUACGAUACCAGACAACGUAUGAAACUGGCACGGCGGAUAGACAAGAGUGUAAAAGAACCGAUAACGAUGCAACAAAUUGCAGAAGUUCAUCCCAAUUGUCCGCACGAUUUUGCCUCAUCGUCGCUGCUGGACGAAGACGGCGGCACGUCCUCGCCCAUCCGCUUUAGCUUGGCUUUGUAGUAAGACUUCUUCAUCCUGAAGGCCUUCUCCUUCUGCCGCGCCGCUCUCGUCUUCUCCCUCACCAGCUCCUGCUCCCACGCCAGCACCUUCAUCCUGUUCUCCCACUCCAGGAUCUUCAUCUGCUGCUGCUGCCUCACGGCGUCGGCCCUCUGCUGGUGCUCCCGUCUCGACAGGUCCGCGUGGUCGAGGUGUGGAGAUGAGCGGCGGGUCGCCCCGUCCGACUCGCCGCCGGCCGGGUCCAAGCGCUGGCUCGCGACGGGGGAGGUGCCUGCAAGGC
ensembl:lncRNA